GAUGAACGCUGGCGGCGUGCUUAACACAUGCAAGUCGAACGGAAAGGCCCUGCUUUCGUGGCGUGCUCGAGCGGCGAACGGGUGAGUAACAAGUGCGUAACCUGCUUUCGCUUUUGGGAUAACUUCAGGAAACUGGGGCUAAUACCGGCUAGGUGCUCCUGUUGAAUGGCGGGGGUUGGAAAGUUUAGGUGGUUGGGGUUGGACUGGGGGUUUGUCAGCUUGUUGGUGGGGUAGUGGCUUACCAAGUCUUUGCCGGGUAGCCGGCCUGAGUGGGGGACCGGCCACAUUGGGACUGGAAUACGGCCCGGAGUCGUACGGGAGACAGCAGAGGGGAAUAUUGCAUGAUGGACGGAAGCCGGGUGCAGCAUCGCCGCGUGCGGGAUGACAGCCUUCGGGUUGUAGACCGCUUUCGCCUGUAACGAAGCGUGAGUGACGGUAAUGGAUAAAGAAGCACCGGCUAACUACGUG
rnacentral:rRNA from 1 species